GUGGGGAAUAUUGGACAAUGGGCGAAAGCCUGAUCCAGCCAUGCCGCGUGUGUGAAGAAGGUCUUCGGAUUGUAAAGCACUUUAAGUUGGGAGGAAGGGCAGUAAGUUAAUACCUUGCUGUUUUGACGUUACCGACAGAAUAAGCACCGGCUAACUUCGUGCCAGCAGCCGCGGUAAUACGAAGGGUGCAAGCGUUAAUCGGAAUUACUGGGCGUAAAGCGCGCGUAGGUGGUUUUGUAAGUUGGAGGUGAAAUCACCGGGCUCAACCUGGGAACUGCCUCCAAAACUGCAUGACUAGAGUACGGUAGAGGGUAGUGGAAUUUCCUGUGUAGCGGUGAAAUGCGUAGAUAUAGGAAGGAACACCAGUGGCGAAGGCGACUACCUGGACUGAUACUGACACUGAGGUGCGAAAGCGUGGGGAGCAAACAGGAUUAGAUACCCGAGUAGUCC
rnacentral:rRNA from 1 species